AACUACUCGCCUAGCUCAGUGGUAAGUCGCUUCCUCUGGUUGUAGGAGCUCUUAGGUUCGAGCCCUCCCUACAACAGAAUUUUUUUGAAUGGCGCCUGGGAGGGAGCUCAACAGUGGGCUGGCAUAUUGGGCUGAGAGCACACGGGUGGGUGCGUGGCCCAAAUCAGGCGCCUGGGAGGGAGCUCAACAGUGGGCUGGCAUAUUGGGCUGAGAGCACACGGGUGGGUGCGUGGCCCAAAUCAAAAGCAGCAGCAGCCUGAGAAAAAAAUAUAGGAAAAAACAAACAAAAAACUAUCCAAUGAAAAUUAGACAUGCCAACAUGGACAAGAGUACUUUAAAUAUUUCUAAAAAUAUUUUUUCACACCCAACCUAUGUCAAUUGUUUAUGACAUUUAUAAAUUAGGCCUCAUGACAUAGUGAAUAUUGUCAUAGUAUGG
rnacentral:lncRNA from 1 species